GUCCCUGCCCCCCGGGAUAGCUCAGCUGGUUAGAGCAUGGUGCUGAUAAUGUCAAGGUUGCAGGUUCAAUCCCCAUAUGGGACA